GGGCGUGUGGCUCAGUUGGUAGAGCGUUCGCUUAGCAUGUUUGUCUUGUACAAGACGAAAAGACAUGCGAAAGGUCCUGGGUUCGAUUCCCAGCUCGUCCA